AUACGUAGGGGGCGAGCGUUGUCCGGAAUGAUUGGGCGUAAAGGGCGCGUAGGCGGCCCGGUAAGUCUGGAGUGAAAGUCCUGUUUUUAAGAUGGGAAUUGCUUUGGAUACUGUCGGGCUUGAGUGCAGGAGAGGUAAGUGGAAUUCCCAGUGUAGCGGUGAAAUGCGUAGAGAUUGGGAGGAACACCAGUGGCGAAGGCGACUUACUGGACUGUAACUGACGCUGAGGCGCGAAAGUGUGGGGAGCAAACAGGAUUAGAUACCCUGGUAGUCCACACUGUAAACGAUGAAUGCUAGGUGUAGGGGGUAUCGACCCCUUCUGUGCCGCAGUCAACACAAUAAGCAUUCCGCCUGGGGAGUACGGCCGCUAGGUUGAAACUCAAAGGAAUUGACGGGG
rnacentral:rRNA from 1 species